GUUCCCAUGGAUGAGGAUGUU
rnacentral:miRNA from 1 species